GAUGGUUGUCGAGCUUAAAUGGCC
rnacentral:sRNA from 1 species